GUGUGAAUUGUCUGGUAAUCAUGGCUGUGCUUCAACAGGACUGUGGUGAAUGUGAUCAAAGUUGAAAUUGUUUGACUACAUGGAUAGUAUGGUGAUGGUGUAGCUUAACGCUUAGCAUUGAUUUCAGUGCUUUGGGAUAUGUUAUAGUGAGUCAUUAGAAAGGGUCUUAAUAGCUACCAUGGUAGUGAACUCAUGGCAUUUACACCAGUGUGGUUUUACUAUUAUUUAUAUACUAUUAUAGUAUUCAUUGAUAUUUUGAGUUAGCAUUUAUACCAUAGCUGAAACACCAUGGUCAUUUUAUUAGUGCUUUCAGGGGGUCCUGAGGUUGCAUUUUAUAUACAAUCCCACAAAGACCUUUUAUUUCACAGCAAAGCAUAAUAUUACAGAUCAGCAUGUACAAAGUCUGUAUAAACAAAAAUAGUGAUCACAAUGCUGGCUAAACCUGGUGACAGUGUGAGCAGCAGCUCUGAUGUGAGGCAACCAGUGGAACUAAAAAGAGCUUCUCGCCAAUAUCUAUUAGUGAUGCCUGUUGCCACGGUUACCCAUGACAUCUCUUUUCCUGGAAAUGUAAAAGCACAGUCACUGGUUUCUUUCUUUUUUCACUCUCUCUCUCUUGCAGCAUCAGAUCUUCCAAAGGAGGUUCCCAAAAGCGUACAAGUGGGCUGGCAAGAGAGUGUAACCAUGGUGAUGGGGUAAUGGAGUGAUCACUGUAGCAGCAUAGCUUGACAGAGCUGACGGGGCACUAGAGCACUGAGGCAGAGCCAGACGGUCACUUUGGAAAAUAAGCUCUGGAUACCCACACUCCCAGAGAAGGGGUGAAAAAAGCUGAAUCAAAUAUAGACAUUCACCGGAAAAGAAGUGGGCAGCACAGACAGACCCUGAGCUCUGGUGCUUAUGUGAUGCAAAUCUUGGACUCCCCACAGGA